GAUAGAACGCAGCGAAAUGCGAUACUUGGUGUGAAUUGCAGAAUCCCGUGAACCAUCGAGUCUUUGAACGCAAGUUGCGCCCGAAGCCAUUAGGCCGAGGGCACGCCUGCCUGGGCGUCACACGUCGUUGCCCCCCCAUCUACUCCUUCGGGAUUGCGGGGGGCGGAUGAUGGCCUCCCGUGCGCCUCGUCGCGCGGUUGGCAUAAAUGCCAAGUCCUCGGCGACGCACGCCACGACAAUCGGUGGUUGCGAAACCUCGGUUGCCCGUCGUGUGCGGUCGUCGCGCAUCGAGGGCUCGAAAAAAUUGCCGGGCUCCGGCUCGGCUUUCAACGCGACCCCAGGUCAGGCGGGGUUACCCGCUGAAUUUAAGCAUAUCAAUAAGCGGAGGA
rnacentral:misc_RNA from 1 species